rnacentral:SRP_RNA from 1 species
ACAUGGGUCCUGUGCGGCGGAACGCCGUGAACCAUGUCAGGCGGGGAACCGAGCAGCAUUCAGCGGGCAGUCCCGCGCGCCACAGUCCGCCUGUGUGCC